GUGAAUUUCGAGUCAAAGUCUUUCGGAUUGGGCUGGACAAGUGCUUUCUCGCUGGGAAGCUUUAACAGAUUAUCAUUGUUGGCAACUGGUUGAGAAACUGGAAUAUGGCAAGUGGUAUUUCACACCUCUAGUGGCAGAAAGAGCACAACUGUGAAAGAAGCCCACUAGUUAAACUAUGGAAUCAACACCAUAUCAUGCAUUUUGUUCCCUGAUCCAUAUAACACAAAAGAGGCUGAAGUUGUUCUGAUGGUACUGCAUUCACUGAUAACUUCAUCUGGACACUAUCAAGAGUCUUCUCUUCAGUUGUGACCAGUGCAAUUCAUCAGGACAACAGUGCUAUGGAGCAUCAAACUGGAUCUAGGAGGAAUGGCUCUUAAAAUAUUCUUUAGAUUUAAAAAUGAUGCAUUCCUUGUUAAUUCCAA